AUCCGGUUGACAAGUUCCAAACAGGACGACACGUGUGUCCUGGAU
rnacentral:hammerhead_ribozyme from 1 species